GAUGAACGCUGGCGGCGUGCCUAAUACAUGCAAGUCGAGCGAAGUUUUUCUGGUGCUUGCACCGGAAAAACUUAGCGGCGAACGGGUGAGUAACACGUAAAGAACCUGCCUCAUAGACUGGGACAACUAUUGGAAACGAUAGCUAAUACCGGAUAAUAGCAUUAACUGCAUGGUUGAUGUUUAAAAGUUGGUUUUGCUAACACUAUGAGAUGGCUUUGCGGUGCAUUAGCUAGUUGGUGGGGUAAAGGCCUACCAAGGCGACGAUGCAUAGCCGACCUGAGAGGGUGAUCGGCCACCCUGGGACUGAGACACGGCCCAGACUCCUACGGGAGGCAGCAGUAGGGAAUCUUCCGCAAUGGGCGAAAGCCUGACGGAGCAACGCCGCGUGAGUGAAGAAGGAUUUCGGUUCGUAAAGCUCUGUUGUUAGGGAAGAAUGAUUGUGUAGUAACUAUACACAGUAGAGACGGUACCUAACCAGAAAGCCACGGCUAACUACGUG
rnacentral:rRNA from 1 species